UGCCGUGGGUUCUCCUGUGGUUGGCCG
rnacentral:sRNA from 1 species